rnacentral:rRNA from 1 species
ACGGGAGGCAGCAGUGGGGAAUAUUGCGCAAUGGGGGAAACCCUGACGCAGCAACGCCGCGUGAAGGAUGAAGGUUUUCGGAUUGUAAACUUCUUUGACUGGGGACGAAAUUUGACGGUACCCAGAAAACAAGUCACGGCUAACUACGUGCCAGCAGCCGCGGUAAUACGUAGGUGACAAGCGUUAUCCGGAUUUACUGGGUGUAAAGGGCGUGUAGGCGGGUUUGCAAGUCAGCUGUGAAAUCCCGGGGCUCAACUCCGGAACUGCCUCUGAAACUGUAGAUCUUGAGUAUCGGAGAGGAAAGUGGAAUUCCCAGUGUAGCGGUGAAAUGCGUAGAUAUCGGGCGGAACACCGGUUGCGAAGGCGGUUUUCUGGACGACAACUGACGCUGAGGCACGAAAGUGUGGGGAGCAAACAGGAUUAGAUACCCUGGUA